rnacentral:RNase_P_RNA from 4 species
CAAGUAAAUCGCCUUAUCGCUUUCCGUUUUUUCGGAAGGAGGAAAGUCCGAACACCGUAGUGCAACAUAGUGGUUAAUGGCCACCAGUCGUGAGAUUAGGAAAAGUGCAACAGAAAGAAUGUACAGGUAAUGCUGUAGUGAAAUCAGGUAAACUCUAUGUGGUGCAAUGUCAUGUAUACCAACGUCCCGAUAUCGGGAGAGGGCUGCACGCCCGAUUGUUGGAGGGUAGACAGCUAAAGUUUGCUGGUAACAGUAAACUCAGAUAAAUGAUAAGGGCUUAAUCUUUUUAAAUUCAUUUUAAAAAAAUAAAGUACAGAAUUCGGCUUAUAGAUUUGCUUAAAAA